AUGCAUCACGCCAAGACCGACUCGGAGGUGACGUCGAGCAUGGCGCCGUCGUCGCCGCCGCGGGCGCCCUACUACGUGCAGUCGCCCAGCCACGACGACGGCGAGAACCACUCCAAGACGGCCGCCUCCUCCUUCCACUCUUCCCCGGCCGCGUCCCCGCCGCGCUCGCUCGGGAACCACUCCAGGGAGUCCUCCUCCUCCCGCUUCUCCGGCAAGGUCCCCUCCGCAGGCUCCUCCCGCCGCGGCGUCGUCGGCGGAGGCGGGAAGCGCGGCGGGGGUGGCGGCGGCGGCGAGGCGGCGCGCCGCAGCCCCUGGAUGAAGGAGGCGGCCAUCGAGGAGGAGGGGCUCCUCAUGGAGGACGACGACGACGCCGACGGCCGCGCCGGCGGCUUCUCCGCGCUCCCCAAGAAGGUGCGCUACGGGCUCGGCUUCGUCGGCGCCUUCCUCGUGCUCUUCACCUUCUUCGCCCUCAUCCUCUGGGGCGCCAGCCGCAACCAGAAGCCCGUCGUCUCCGUCAACAGCGUCACGUUCCACAACUUCGUGAUCCAGGCGGGGACGGACGCGUCGCUGGUGCCCACGGAGAUGUCCACGAUCAACGCCACGGUGAGGCUCACGUUCCGCAACACGGGGAGUUUCUUCGGCGUGCACGUCACGGCGCAGCCCGUCACGCUCUACUACUCCCAGCUCCUCAUGGCCUCCGGCGAUAUGAAGUACUUCUACCAGCCUCGGAAGAGCCAGCGCAAGGUGGCGGUGACGGUGGUGGGCAGCAAGGUGCCGCUGUACGGCGGCGGCGCGGGGCUGAGCAGCACGCCGGGGCCCAAGGGCGUGCCCCCGCCGCCGGUGCCGCUGCAGCUGACGCUGAGGAUCAGGGCUCGGGCGCUGGUGCUGGGCAAGCUGGUGAAGCCCAGGUUCUACAACAACGUGCAGUGCAGCGUCCGCCUGGACACGACCAAGCUGGGCAAAGCCAUAUCCCUCAAGAAAUCCUGCACCCACGUCUAG
rnacentral:rRNA from 1 species